GACAGAGGUGCCAAGCGUUAGGCGGAAUCACUGGGCUUAAAGCGUGUGUAGGCGGAAUUGUAAGUACCUUGUGAAAUCCCACGGCUCAACCGUGGAACUGCUCGGUAUACUGCUUUUCUUGAACCACUUAGGGGCUACCGGAACAAAUGGUGGAGCGGUGAAAUGCGCAGAUAUCAGGAGGAACACCAAUGGCGAAGGCAGCUCGCUGGGACGGUACUGACGCUGAGGCGCGAAAGCGUGGGGAGCAAACAGG
rnacentral:rRNA from 1 species